ACGGAACGAAAAGCUUCGGGUUAAUACCCUGGAGCCAUGACGGUACCGUAAGAAUAAGCACCGGCUAACUACGUGCCAGCAGCCGCGGUAAUACGUAGGGUGCAAGCGUUAAUCGGAAUUACUGGGCGUAAAGCGUGCGCAGGCGGUUUUGUAAGACAGAGGUGAAAUCCCCGGGCUCAACCUGGGAACUGCCUUUGUGACUGCAAGGCUAGAGUACGGCAGAGGGGGAUGGAAUUCCGCGUGUAGCAGUGAAAUGCGUA
rnacentral:rRNA from 1 species